AUUGCAUUGCUCACCGUUUCAUCUUUCCUGAUCUGCGCGCGAAACUGAUCGACGUUCAAAUUCUCUGAUUUUUGAUGCUCUGGUCAAUUCAAUCUUCAACCUGCAUAGUAUUCAGACUUUUGUGCGUGCACCAGGCCCUGGAUUUCUACUUCAAGUUGAGACUUAGCGAGUGUUGAGGUCCUCUCUGUGAUUUUAAUGCAAAAGACAAGUAUUUUCGAUCCUAAGGCCCCGUUUGGAUUCCACAGGAAUCACAUUAGACAGUAUGAUCACCAGUUCACCUGCACGACUUCAUGUUGUUAUGCCGGAAGAGAUGAUGUUAGGUCAUCUGCUAAGUGGGUGAAGGUCCCAGUUCCAUCCACCGCUCAUUCUGCUGCUCUGAACCAUUUAAACGUUGGUUGUGAUUAUCGAAUGGUAAAAUUCAAGUGCGUGGCAUAUGAAGAUCAAGGGAAGUUGUUGGACGAGGACGAUGAUCUCUGUCCUGUCGACUGCGUGAGAGAAUUCAAGACCGACGAGGAGUUCUUUAGAAUCCUCGAGAAGGCCAAAGAGACUGACGCAUUGGUGGUGGUCGAUUUUUACCGCACUUCUUGCGGCAGCUGCAAGUACAUAGAGCAAGGAUUUGCGAAACUAUGCAGGCUUUCUGGUGAUCAAGAGGCUCAAGUAAUAUUCUUGAAGCACAAUGUAAUUGAUGAGUAUGAUGAAGAAUCAGAGGUUGCAGAGAGGCUUAGAAUAAGGGUAGCCUUCUCUUUGAAAUGCUUUGAUCUUAGCAUUGAUAGGUGACUUUCACUUUGGCUGCCCAACGUAAAAUCGGUCAUUCUUUCCUCAUUUAGUCCAAUUAAGUAGAGGAUGUUAACUAGAUUUAUCCUUUUGGAUGAUUGGUAUCAAUUCUGGUUCUCAAUAGGAUGCUGAUAUGUAAGCUUCAGCUGUUGCAUUAUAGUUUUGAUUAAGACUACUCUGCAUUUGCUGGUCUUACUUGAGGUGGAGCAAGUGCUAAAGCUAGCUCUAAGUUAAGUAUACAAUACAGAAUCUAGCUAUUCCUUUUCAGAAUUUAAUUAAGAUAAUUUUCCGAUGCAUUCCCUCAAAGCCGUGCCGCUCUUCCAUUUCUACAAGAACGGGGUCCUCCUGGAAGCAUUCCCGACCAGAGACAAAGACAGGAUUACUGAAGCCAUUCUUAAGUAUUCAUCUUCUGCUUUAGCAGGCUGAUGAUAGGUUCUGGUUUUGCACAUAAUGAUGCUUGUAGAUACUUUCAGCUAGUCAAUUGUCUUUGAUGCCUAUUCUAUGCGGUUGAUGAUUCCUCAAUAAAUGAAUGGCAUGAUAUUCCUAACGUGAGAGCAGAACAUAAGUAUCCUUCGAAGUGUAAUUCAGAUUGGAGUAUGGUGAUAA